rnacentral:rRNA from 1 species
CCUACGGGAGGCAGCAGUGGGGAAUAUUGCUCAAUGGGCGAAAGCCUGAAGCAGCAACGCCGCGUGGGGGAUGAAGGUCUUCGGAUUGUAAACCCCUUUCGACCGGAACGAAUCCCCUCCUGGUGAACAAUCAGGAGGAUCGACGGUACCGGGAGAAGAAGCCACGGCUAACUCUGUGCCAGCAGCCGCGGUAAGACAGAGGUGGCAAGCGUUGUUCGGAUUUACUGGGCGUAAAGCGCACGCAGGCGGUUUGGUAAGUCAGAGGUGAAAGCCCACGGCUUAACCGUGGAAUUGCCUUUGAUACUGCCUUUCUCGAGUGCAGGAGGGGGAAGCGGAAUCCCCAGUGUAGAGGUGAAAUUCGUAGAUAUUGGGAGGACCACCGGUGGCGAGGGCGGCUCUCUGGACUAAUACUGACGCUGAAGCGCGAAAGCGUGGGAAGCGAACGGGAUUAGAUCCCCGGGUAGU